UGGUAAUUUAGUGGCUGCCGCUGGCAGAGAAGAAGUUGUCAGAACCAUGUGAGAACUAAACUGUGUUGUUUAUAUUUUCAGUCAAAUCCGUUUGUCCGUGAGAGAAAUUGAACAUGCAGCUCGCUCAUCGUCCACAAGCUUCAGUGUCUUGGCUCAAAAGCCUCACUGGUUCCCUCAUCCAUUACCUGGGACUGUCCUCAGGCCCAAGAGAAGGAUGAUGAGCCAUCUCUGCAACCGACUGACUGAGAGCUGAAGGCGGGGGAACGGAUGUCAUGGACCAGCCUGCACAACACACACACACACACACACACACACACACACACACACACACACACACACACACACACAAACAUAAUGAAGGCUGAGUCACAGCAUCAAACAAACUAUGCCAAAAAAUGCAUGCUGUAAGUCAUAUUGAAGCUAAAAUAAUGCCCACACAUUUGCUAUUUGUAAUGACUAUAAAGUAGGCUAUCGGAAACGAUAGAAUUAACAAUGACAAUAUCAGGACAUCAAGUUACCUGUUUGGUAGAUUCAGGUGAAACAUUUUCUCUUUGGAAUUAUCAGCUUUGCCAAAACCACUCAAAAAGUGGGAGGACAUGUCGAACUGUGGGUGCCGGAGGUGACUGUUACAGAGCUGUUUACAAGCCCACUGUUGUGUACUCUUGAUUUAACUGUAAAGCACUCAUUCCUAUGUCCAAUUACUGUGCAAUCAAUUUUAAGGGCAGAGAUCUUAUAGUCUUGACAUUUUACCCACAUGGCAUAAAGUUCCUUAAAUGCCUGUGUCCUCCCAAUUUUGUCAAAUUUGUUGAAGACAGUACAGAUGCAUCACGGUUGUUUUAUGAGUGGUCACUGCUGCCAUCUGCUGUUGACAUUGCACCUCACAGCAUUCUCACAAAGGCAGCCCAUUACAUGUUGUCUGACUCAUUACACUGAAAGGUUUGAGGCAGUUUGGAAAAGGAAGCCAGACGAAGUAGAGAAUUUCAAUAUGAAAUGUAUUGAAGCUUAUUUGUUUGAUGGAGUGUCUCCACACUGGCAAAUCCUGCUCAUUGGGAGUCCAGGGAUUUGGGACCAUGGCUCAACAGACAACAGGCCCCGGUUCUGUUGAAUUGUGUUGUGUGUCACUUGUUCUGUCCUUCUCCUUUCAUUUGCAUAAAGACCUCUAUCACUGCAUCCAUGACUCAGCAUAACGCACAAGUUUCACAGAAGUAUUCCUAUAUUUACAGCAAACAGAUUAUUUCACACCUUGAAAAUUGUUUUCAACAAUCAGUGGUAUCCUAACUUCUAUUUCGUUACAUCUGUCAUUAUUCACUUGGACUCAUGGAUGACCUGAUUAGUGGUCAAAGGUCAAGGUCACAGGGCCUCAAAAACAGGUUUUAGGCCUCUUGAAUGUGAUAUAAUUUUGAUCAUUUGUAACUUGUAUGCAAAGAUGAAGUGAUAGGAUUU